AUUGAACGCUGGCGGCAGGCCUAACACAUGCAAGUCGAGCGGAGCGGGGGACGGGUGAGUAAUGCAUAGGUAUCUGCCUGGUCGUGGGGGAUAACGUCCGGCAACGGGAGCUAAUAACGUACACUAUCAGAUGAGCGUGAGUCGGAUUAGGUAGGUGGUGGGGUAAAGGCCUACCAAGGCGACGAUCCGGAACUGGGCUGAGAGGAUGAUCAGUCACACUGGAACUGAGACACGGUCCAGACUCCUACGGGAGGCAGCAGUGGGGAAUAUGGGACAAUGGGCGAAAGCCUGAUCCAGCCAUGCCGCGUGUGUGAAGAAGGUCUUCGGAUUGUAAAGCACUUUAAGUUGGGAGGCGUUACCAACAGAAUAAGCACCGGCUAACUUCGUGCCAGCAGCCGCGGUAAUAC
rnacentral:rRNA from 1 species